CUGCCAGUAGUCAUAUGCUUGUCUCAAAGAUUAAGCCAUGCAUGUGUAAGUAUAAAUAAAUUCAGACUGUGAAACUGCGAAUGGCUCAUUAAAUUAGUUAUAGUUUGUUUGAUGGUAUUUGCUACUCAAAAAACCGUAGUAAUUCUAGAGCUAAUACGUGCCACAAACCCCGACGUCUGAAAGGGAUGCAUUUAUUAGAUAAAAGGUCGACGCGGGCUUUGCCCGUUGCUCUGAUGAUUCAUGAUAACUCGACGGAUCGCACGUCCUUUGUGCCGGCGUCGCAUCAUUCAAAUUUUUGCCCUAUCAACUUUCGAUGGUAAGAUAGUGGCCUACUAUGGUGGUGACGGGUGACGGAGAAUUAGGGUUCGAUUCUAGAGAGAGAGCCUGAGAAACGGCUACCACAUCCAAGGAAGGCAGCAGGCGCACAAAUUACACAAUCCUGACACGGGGAGGUAGUGACAAUAAAUAACAAUACCGGGCUCUAUGAGUCUGGUAAUUG
rnacentral:ncRNA from 1 species